UACGAAGGGGGCUAGCGUUGCUCGGAAUCACUGGGCGUAAAGCGCACGUAGGCGGCUUUUUAAGUCAGGGGUGAAAUCCUGGAGCUCAACUCCAGAACUGCCUUUGAUACUGAGAGCUUGAGUCCGGGAGAGGUGAGUGGAACUGCGAGUGUAGAGGUGAAAUUCGUAGAUAUUCGCAAGAACACCAGUGGCGAAGGCGGCUCACUGGCCCGGUACUGACGCUGAGGCACGAAAGCGUGGGGGAGCAAACAGG
rnacentral:rRNA from 1 species